CAAAACUAUAGAUGCUAGGAUUCUCGAACGCAUGACCAGACGCCACUUUUCACCAUGGUUGGUACCUAUGACUGUUGUGAAAUGUCUUUUAGUAAAUACAAAAAAAACGUCCAAAAAAGUUAUUACCAUGAUUAAUGGGAAGACCGUUGUAAAAUGGGUGUUACGAAAGGUCUAUUUUGUAGUAGUGCUUGUAUCCCAAUCAACUGUAUUUUUUAUAUAUAAUCAAUGAGUAUCUCAAUCAAUGUUAAUGUCG
rnacentral:lncRNA from 1 species